GACGCGGUGGCCUAAUGGUUAGCGCGCUGGACUCCGGACCAAGCGGUCUGGGUUCAAGCCCUGUGUUGUGUUC
rnacentral:tRNA from 1 species